AUUGAACGCUGGCGGUAGGCCUAACACAUGCAAGUCGAACGGUAACAGGAAACAGCUUGCUGUUUCGCUGACGAGUGGCGGACGGGUGAGUAAUGUCUGGGAAACUGCCUGAUGGAGGGGGACAACUACUGGAAACGGUAGCUAAUACCGCAUAACGUCGCAAGACCAAAGAGGGGGGCCCCCGGGCCUCUCGCCAUCGGCUGUGCCCAGAUGGGAUUAGCUUGUUGGAGGGGUAACGGCUCACCAAGGCGACGAUCCCUAGCUGGUCUGAGAGGAUGACCAGCCACACUGGAACUGAGACACGGUCCAGACUCCUACGGGAGGCAGCAGUGGGGAAUAUUGCACAAUGGGCGCAAGCCUGAUGCAGCCAUGCCGCGUGUAUGAAGAAGGCCUUCGGGUUGUAAAGUACUUUCAGCGGGGAGGAAGGGAGUAAAGUUAAUACCUUUGCUCAUUGACGUUACCCGCAGAAGAAGCACCGGCUAACUCCGUG
rnacentral:rRNA from 1 species